rnacentral:rRNA from 1 species
UACGUAGGGUGCAAGCGUUGUCCGGAAUUAUUGGGCGUAAAGAGCGUGUAGGCGGCUAGGUAGGUCCGUUGUGAAAACUGGAGGCUUAACCUCCAGCUGUCGAUGGAAACCAUCUGGCUAGAGUCCGGAAGAGGAGAGUGGAAUUCCUGGUGUAGCGGUGAAAUGCGCAGAUAUCAGGAAGAACACCCGUGGCGAAGGCGGAUCUCUGGGACGGUACUGACGCUGAGACGCGAAAGCGUGGGGAGCGAACAGG